rnacentral:misc_RNA from 1 species
GAUGAAGAACGCAGCGAAAUGCGAUACGUAGUGUGAAUUGCAGAAUUCAGUGAAUCAUCGAAUCUUUGAACGCACAUUGCGCCCUUUGGUAUUCCAAAGGGCAUGCCUGUUCGAGCGUCAUUUGUACCCUCAAGCUUUGCUUGGUGUUGGGCGUCUUUUGUCUCCAGUUCGCUGGAGACUCGCCUUAAAGUCAUUGGCAGCCGGCCUACUGGUUUCGGAGCGCAGCACAAGUCGCGCUCUUAGCCAGCCAAGGUCAGCGUCCAGCAAGCCUUUUUUCAACCUUUGACCUCGGAUCAGGUAGGGAUACCCGCUGAACUUAAGCAUAUCAAUAAGCGGAGA